CUAAACCAUGCACCGAAGCUGCGGCAGCGACGCUUAUGCGUUGUUGGGUAGGGGAGCGUUCUGUAAGCCUGCGAAGGUGGCCUGUGAGGGUUGCUGGAGGUAUCAGAAGUGCGAAUGCUGACAUAAGUAACGAUAAAGCGGGUGAAAAGCCCGCUCGCCGGAAGACCAAGGGUUCCUGUCCAACGUUAAUCGGGGCAGGGUGAGUCGACCCCUAAGGCGAGGCCGAAAGGCGUAGUCGAUGGGAAACGGGUUAAUAUUCCCGUACUUGGUGUUACUGCGAAGGGGGGACGGAGAAGGCUAUGUUGGCCGGGCGACGGUUGUCCCGGUUUAAGCGUGUAGGUGUGUGUUCCAGGUAAAUCCGGUUCACUUUAACACUGAGGCGUGACGACGAGGCACUACGGUGCUGAAGCAACAAAUGCCCUGCUUCCAGGAAAAGCCUCUAAGCAUCAGGUAACAUCAAAUCGUACCCCAAACCGACACAGGUGGUCAGGUAGAGAAUACCAAGGCGCUUGAGAGAACUCGGGUGAAGGAACUAGGCAAAAUGGUGCCGUAACUUCGGGAGAAGGCACGCUGACACGUAGGUGAAGUGAUUUACUCAUGGAGCUGAAGUCAGUCGAAGAUACCAGCUGGCUGCAACUGUUUAUUAAAAACACAGCACUGUGCAAACACGAAAGUGGACGUAUACGGUGUGACGCCUGCCCGGUGCCGGAAGGUUAAUUGAUGGGGUCAGCGCAAGCGAAGCUCCUGAUCGAAGCCCCGGUAAACGGCGGCCGUAACUAUAACGGUCCUAAGGUAGCGAAAUUCCUUGUCGGGUAAGUUCCGACCUGCACGAAUGGCGUAAUGAUGGCCAGGCUGUCUCCACCCGAGACUCAGUGAAAUUGAACUCGCUGUGAAGAUGCAGUGUACCCGCGGCAAGACGGAAAGACCCCGUGAACCUUUACUAUAGCUUGACACUGAACAUUGAGCCUUGAUGUGUAGGAUAGGUGGGAGGCUUUGAAGUGUGGACGCCAGUCUGCAUGGAGCCGACCUUGAAAUACCACCCUUUAAUGUUUGAUGUUCUAACGUGGACCCGUUACCCGGGUUGCGGACAGUGUCUGGUGGGUAGUUUGACUGGGGCGGUCUCCUCCUAAAGAGUAACGGAGGAGCACGAAGGUUGGCUAAUCCUGGUCGGACAUCAGGAGGUUAGUGCAAUGGCAUAAGCCAGCUUGACUGCGAGCGUGACGGCGCGAGCAGGUGCGAAAGCAGGUCAUAGUGAUCCGGUGGUUCUGAAUGGAAGGGCCAUCGCUCAACGGAUAAAAGGUACUCCGGGGAUAACAGGCUGAUACCGCCCAAGAGUUCAUAUCGACGGCGGUGUUUGGCACCUCGAUGUCGGCUCAUCACAUCCUGGGGCUGAAGUAGGUCCCAAGGGUAUGGCUGUUCGCCAUUUAAAGUGGUACGCGAGCUGGGUUUAGAACGUCGUGAGACAGUUCGGUCCCUAUCUGCCGUGGGCGCUGGAGAACUGAGGGGGGCUGCUCCUAGUACGAGAGGACCGGAGUGGACGCAUCACUGGUGUUCGGGUUGUCAUGCCAAUGGCACUGCCCGGUAGCUAAAUGCGGAAGAGAUAAGUGCUGAAAGCAUCUAAGCACGAAACUUGCCCCGAG
rnacentral:rRNA from 1 species